rnacentral:rRNA from 1 species
UACGUGGGGGGGAAGCGUUGUUCGGAAUUACUGGGCGUAAAGGGCUCGUAGGCGGUUUGUCGCGUCGGCCGUGAAAACUUGGGGCUUAACCCCAAGCUUGCGGUCGAUACGGGCAGACUUGAGUUCGGCAGGGGAGACUGGAAUUCCUGGUGUAGCGGUGAAAUGCGCAGAUAUCAGGAGGAACACCCGUGGCGAAAGCGGCUCUCUGGAACGGUACUGACGCUGAGACGCGAAAGCGUGGGGAGCGAACAGG